CCUCCCGCGACGCCGGAACCCGGCGCGGGCGAAGGCGGGCGCGUUACCCAGGGGACCCCGCGAUGUCAGUCUCGACCCGGAAGCACUAGUAGAAGUUCCGGUCACAGGCUCUCUUUAGAGUCCGGUCCUUCUUGGCGCGCCUACUCUUUCUACACGGAGACCCAGGAGGUUGCGAGGCUCCAGCCCCCCAAGGCUUCUAGGGCUCCGGCCGCUUCCGAGGGUGUCAGUGGGAGGCCUGCGGGCGGUGGGUGAAGGGCUGGCCCGGGCGGCAGGGCUGGGCGGGCGACCCUUCCUCCCGAGGGCCCGUGCUUGGGUGGCCAGGCCUCGGGUGGAGGGUCGCGGGUCUUGGAGGCCUGGGGCGGUGCCUGAGGGGACGAAGGGAUUAGCGCUCGCGCUGGUGCGUUGUCCCCAGCCCACGUCCGGCAGCGAGAUGCCGUUUGCCUGUGUCGCAAAGCGUCGGCUUGUGGUCAUUCCUCUCCAGGCCUCACGGAGUCAAAGCCUCCGGGAAAAAUUCAUCAUGACACUUGUCCCAUAUCCCUGCUCUACCUCACUUUCACCAGGACCAGUGCAAGAACUCCUGUGGUCCUGGGUGGGGACAGGCUGGGACACUUGGAGCGACCAAUGGCUACACCCAACGCAAACCUGCUCAGACAGAGGCUGCCAAUGGUUUUGAUGCCUGGCGAGAGGACCCUGUGGUUCCAUAUCAACUAGGACCAAUAUUGCCACCUCAUCCCCUGAGUGGGCGACAUGAUUCCGUGCCCUACCUGCCCCGCUCCCAGGCUGGCAGCUCCAGGAUGUCCUGUCUCUGCAGGCUACGGCACCACACUUUGAAGGAAGAAGGAAUUUCCCAGGCAACAGCUUGUUUCUCACUGGCCCUGCCUGGACUACUUGUCCAUCCCCUGGACACUGACUGGCCAGAGAAGAAAAAACUGCUGGCCCAGUCAUGACACCCAGGCCUGCAUGAAGGGAAGCAGGUCUGUGGCCAGAGGGGGGAAGGCACUGGGAAUAUAGCCUAUGGUACUUUGCCACAUCUCCACGUUCCUGUAUCAACAAAAAGAAAAAAGAAAAGGCAGCUCCCCCACAGCAGCACAUUGUGCACAUAGCUUGAUCCCACACAGCGAAGGGCUCUUUGUAUGUGCCAGUGUCUAUUCAGCAGCUAUCCAGUGAUGCGCACAUAGCAGCCCCUUUACCAAGUGCAGAAAAAGACUCAGCCCCACACCACCAACUCCAUGAUCUAGUGGCCAUCAUCAGACCUGGUGACAAGGGUGAGGAGGAGAGGCCUCUUAGGAGGCUGGGGUAGUAACGAGCCAGAAGAGAUGCUGGCCUGCAGUGAGGACGGAGAAAAGUGGGCAGAUCGAAGGACUGUCAACUGGUAGUUGGCCAGGAUUUCAUGGGGCUGGAGGUGGGUGUUGACGCCAAGGAAGGGACCCAGAAUGACUUCCAGGGGACUGCUGGCAAAGGAUGGAGGAUAGCAUCACCACAGGACCUGGCGUGAGCACAGGAGGAAUGGAGGGAAGGUGGGCAUUGCCAGAUACGGGCAGAAGUCAUCAGCAAGCACAGGACAACCGCUACCAUGGCCUGAAGAGCUUUUUUGGAGCAGAGGAUGUGAGAAAAGCUCUGGCGGGCAGAGAGCAGGUGAGGGCGCAGUGAUGGGGAGGAGGGUAGGAAGUGGCCCUUGGGGGUCAAGAACCCCGGAUUUUGGUUCUGGGAGAUGGCUUCGGUGAGCUGCCUGAGCAUAGUAGGGCCGGUUACAGAGCUUGUCAGGAGGUGACGGCUGGGGAACAAUGCAGUGGAGAGGAAGGCGAGCGGAUCCCAGCUCUGGAGGGAGCUCAAGAUGUAAAGGAGAAGUACCGUGAUUAUCCAAUCACUGUACUGUACAUCGAAGCCAGUGUAAUACUGCAAUAUUCCAAUAAACAUAUUCCAAUAAGACAUA